GCACCUAACUAGAUCAUGAAAAUCCCAAAAAUCUCCGGGGGUAUCCCCCGAACCCCCCUAACUUGUUUGGACCUCGGUAUUUAGGAAAUCCUGGAUACGGCCCUGAUGACAGGAGAGUAGUGUGCAUUAGACAUGCUCAAGAACAAAUAUAGAGAAGACAUUCAAGGAGAGAGAGAGACAAAACACAGAUUCAACGUGUCAGGAUGGAACCCUUCUCCUUUUCUCUGUAAACAGAAUCUACCUAUGGGUACACAUAAAUAACCUGAACCUGAACUGAACAGCAUUCCAUAAGGAGGGUCAGGAACUCACGCUUGGGACCACCAGUGUCCCCUCCAUCCUCAGUUUGUCCCUCAUCAUCAGUGAACUUAACUGACGUCGAAUGAGAGGGGUCAAAUGAGGCACAUUUGAAGCCGCGGAUUGCUCCAUCCCAUACAUUGGCUCUAUUCAUAUUGAACCUGCUGCAAGAUGUAUUUGUUAUUUUUGCAGAGAGUUCUGCAACAAUGUCCUCCGCAGUCAGGUAUGCUGUGCUGGGAAAGACAAAGUGAUGUUUUGUAAUAUUAAAUGAUGAAGCUAGUAAUAAGAUUUACAGUAUAGAUAGAACAAUUAAGUGGUAACAGUAACAAUUAAUACCUUUGCUCCAUUUUGUCUUCUGGCUCAGACUGGCUAUCAAUAAUGAUAGGUGCAUACACAAUUAUGUAGUUGCUGCAGUGAGAAGACAGAUGAAUAAUUACUUUCAAAUACAUCAUACAGUAUAUGCAUGACAGUCAUAUUUACAAAAAAUGCAAUGAUGUCGAUCCUCUUCCUGUUUUUUUAAUACAUUGGGUUCUAAACUGACAACAGCACUUUUGUCAUACUCCUGCACAAUCCUUGUAAACAUUUUAAAUGGAUGCAAGAAACAAUAUCUGAUCUUUGAAAAAUAUUUGUGGGUGUUUUUUGUAUCGUCUUCACUAAGAUGUCAGAUGUUGUGGGUGUCAUUUGGAAAUGUAUGAAAGUAUAAUUGUUCUGCUUCCUGGCAAUGUUACCCACUGUGAUUGGAGGCUAUACAAACAAACAAAUGUACAAAUAAAGAUACACACCACA